AGGCCUAAACAUGCAAGUCGAACGGUAACAGGAAGCAGCUUGCUGCUUCGCUGACGAGUGGCGGACGGGUGAGUAAUGUCUGGGAAACUGCCUGAUGGAGGGGGAUAACUACUGGAAACGGUAGCUAAUACCGCAUAACGUCGCAAGACCAAAGAGGGGGACCUUCGGGCCUCUUGCCAUCGGAUGUGCCCAGAUGGGAUUAGCUAGUAGGUGGGGUAACGGCUCACCUAGGCGACGAUCCCUAGCUGGUCUGAGAGGAUGACCAGCCACACUGGAACUGAGACACGGUCCAGACUCCUACGGGAGGCAGCAGUGGGGAAUAUUGCACAAUGGGCGCAAGCCUGAUGCAGCCAUGCCGCGUGUAUGAAGAAGGCCUUCGGGUUGUAAAGUACUUUCAGCGGGGAGGAAGGCGAUAAGGUUAAUAACCUUGUCGAUUGACGUUACCCGCAGAAGAAGCACCGGCUAACUCCGUGCCAGCAGCCGCGGUAAUACGGAGGGUGCAAGCGUUAAUCGGAAUUACUGGGCGUAAAGCGCACGCAGGCGGUCUGUCAAGUCGGAUGUGAAAUCCCCGGGCUCAACCUGGGAACUGCAUUCGAAACUGGCAGGCUAGAGUCUUGUAGAGGGGGGUAGAAUUCCAGGUGUAGCGGUGAAAUGCGUAGA
rnacentral:rRNA from 1 species